GGGUCGCGGCGACCCGCCGGGACCUUUUCGUCAGUGUCGUGGGGAUUUUACGGGUGGAGUCACUCCGAAACCUUAAGACGGGGUGUGAUCGGUAGUCCAAAGCUUCCUGUUUCUUCAGUCUGACAGCUUCCAGUGUCCCAGGUUGUGCUCAAAGCCUUCCUCCUGUGAGAAGAAUCUCUUUAGUUGCCUGUUAAAGCGGUCAGCCAGCUUGCAACAUGGAAGCAGCUUUUAGGGGAAUUAAGACCAAAGCAAGGAGCAAAUUCUGGAUUAAAGAGAGACAGGGUUUUGUCAUGUUGCCUAGACUGGUGUCAAACUCCUGAGCUCAAGUGAUUCGCCUGCCUCAGCCUCCCAAAGUGGGAUUACUGGCUAAGCCACCAUGCCCAAGCAACCUUAUUAUAUUUGCUAACCACUUACACUAAAAGUGAUGGCAUGAAAGGAAAAGAAAAGAUAUUUGCAACCAUUCUCCCAAUCAAUUUUAGAAAAUUUCCACCACCUCAAAAAGAAACCCUGUAAGUAUUAGCAGUAGUUCCCUAUUUCUCCCUCCACAGCACUAGUCUACCUUCUCUCUCUAGAUUUGCCUACUUGGUACAUUUCAUAUAAAUGUGAUCAUGGAAUAUUUGGUCUUUUGUGACUGGCUUCUUUCACUUAGCAUGAUGAUUUUAAGGUUUAUCUAUAAUAUAUCAUAUAACCGUACUUCAUUCCCUUGUAUUGUCCAGUGAAAUAUGCUAUUGUAUUUUUCUGCCACAUUGUAUUUAUCCAUUUAUAUGCUAAUGGAUAUUUAGCUUGUUUUUUUUCUUUUUGGCUGUUGUG